CCGGAUCCCUGCUUGAGAAGUUCACCCUCCGACAACAUGCUUGUGGAAAUCGUGUGACUUGUGAAUGGUCUGGUGCAGUCGGAUGAGCAAUGAUUGGUCGGGUGCCUCUGGUCAGGUGCCAGUCGUGAAAACAAUUAUUUUUCAAAUUUUUCAAUCCAAAAAAUGUUAAUUGGGGUACUGACUAUCACUGCAAGCUAAGGCCUUCAGUCGGCUAUGAUAACCCUCUUAACUGCUAGCCCCUGAGCCAGUAGUGAUAGUCGGGGACUAUCACUGCUCGUUGCCCACUGCUGACUUCAAAACCGGUAGUGAAUGCCACUUUAGAGCCGGCAGUGAAACCAAUACUUUCUGUAGCAAUGAGUGUGGCUUGUCGAUGAUGAAGGGUACGGGUUUAGUAGCACACACACCACCACUUUUGGUUUGUAGCCUCAUUCUUGUUAUGAAGUUUUUUUGUUCAUGUUGGUAGCUAAGCUGACUUGUGUAAUGUAACAAAUAAAUUUUUGUACGGUUCGGUUAUGGACUAAAUUUGCUCUAUAUGUUUCAGUAUAGAUCUUUGUGCUAUAUUUAUCUCAUGCCUGUGCUUGUGCCUCAGUUUUUUCCCGCUGUGCAGGGGAGGUGUUGCCGAAAUUUGAAUUUUUUCUGGCAGGCUUACAUUUUAUUAGGUUGGUUGUGUAGUCUUCCGAGCGAGAGGCAUGUAUGGGUGUUACAUUAAUUUUGACCGAUUACUAUUAGCCAUAUGUGAUGAGCUAUGAUCUAUAUAUGGAACUGAAGGUAAAACCCUUUCCUCGAAAAAGGAAUCACCAAAACUGAAGCACAUCCAAGUGGCGAUUGUGUCCUCCGACAAUACUCACAAGCAGAUCAAAACUUGAGAGCAAAAGACUGCAUCCUAAAGAUUAUCAAGGAUGCUGACAUGCUUUGCGGUCCGACCUACAUUUUACGAGCAUAAUGGAUGCAAUGAAAGAAUAUGAAAGCUAGGUAUCUCAAGGUUUUGACUUAUUGAAGUGACUUUAGUGGAGGGUCCGAAGCAAGCCUUGAAAUGCUUGACUGAGUGCUUGGAUGGAGGAGCAAAGGAGUGCAUCCUAAAGCCUAUCAAGGAUGCUGAAAUACUUUGCAGUCCGAUCUACAUGUGAUGAGCAUGAUGGAUGCAAUGAAAGAAUAUUCAAUGUAACUCUCAUUUUGGUGUCAUGUAUCGAGUAAUUUAUUAUUCAUUAUUUAGAUACAAUGAUGUAUAGUCUUCUUCUAUCUUACCAUGUGUUUGAUACAUUUGAUGUGCUACGUGUUUGAUUCGCUUGAACUACUAUGUGUUUGCACCGCUUGGACUACA